GGGCGCAUAGCUCAGUGGUAGAGCGCUUAUCUGAUAAGUAAGAGGUCCUUGGUUCAAUCCCAAGUGCGCCCA
rnacentral:tRNA from 1 species